GCAGAUCUCCUUCGGGAGUGACGCUUGUGGAACGAGCGGCGGACGGGUGAGUAACACGUGGGCAACCUACCUGUAAGACUGGGAUAACUCCGGGAAACCGGGGCUAAUACCGGAUGAAACAAAGCGUCGCAUGACGCAAUGUUAAAAGGCGGCAUAUGCUGUCACUUACAGAUGGGCCCGCGGCGCAUUAGCUAGUUGGUGAGGUAAAGGCUCACCAAGGCAACGAUGCGUAGCCGACCUGAGAGGGUGAUCGGCCACACUGGGACUGAGACACGGCCCAGACUCCUACGGGAGGCAGCAGUAGGGAAUCUUCCGCAAUGGACGAAAGUCUGACGGAGCAACGCCGCGUGAGUGAUGAAGGUUUUCGGAUCGUAAAACUCUGUUGUUAGGGAAGAACAAGUGCCAUUCGAAUAGGUUGGCACCUUGACGGUACCUAACCAGAAAGCCCCGGCUAACUACGUGCCAGCAGCCGCGGUAAUACGUAGGGGGCAAGCGUUGUCCGGAAUUAUUGGGCGUAAAGCGCGCGCAGGCGGUCCUUUAAGUCUGAUGUGAAAGCCCACGGCUUAACCGUGGAGGGCCAUUGGAAACUGGAGGACUUGAGUACAGAAGAGGAGAGUGG
rnacentral:rRNA from 1 species